rnacentral:lncRNA from 1 species
GGGAGCAGGCAGGGGCAUUUACCUGAUUCUGCCUGAGUCUUAUCCAGAUUCUUUAUUAAACACCCGGUUCCUUUUAGCAGAAAGAUCAAAGGAACCUAAUGCAGGGAACUUGGCUAAGCAAGAGCUCAGGAAAAAUGAGCUAUUUGAGGCAUGUAAACAGUGAAGUAAAUAAGAAAUAUGGAGCUGGUGCACAGAGCGUAAUGAACAGGCCUGUUAUAGACAUACACAUAGGGAAAGGCAGGCUGAGGGCAGGACAAGCUGCUCACCUGGCACAGGAUUGCACAGCAGUCCCACUGAACACUUUCUUCUUCU